CGAACCACUCUAAAUCUCUGGUUUGCGUUUAUUUUUUAGCACUUUAUCAUUACUGCAAACCUCCUUCAUUACUACUGCUCUCUGCGCUUUCACGAACAAGUUCUAAGUGCUGUUCUUCCGAAUCUGCAUUCAGACGUAAAUUCGUAUUUUCGUACAUUACAGUUUACGUUUACGUUUGAUUCUGCAGAACUGUCUUCCGUGCUUUUACGAACGAGUUUCUUUGCAGUUUACACUUACAUUUUGAUCCUAUUGAUAACUGCAAACUGUCCUCUACGAUUUUACGAACGAGUUUCAACAUUUAGACGUAAAACUGCAUUUAGACGUAAAUCGGCUUUCCUCGCACAAUCAUCAGAUCUCAGUUCACGUUUACGUCUUGAUUUCAACUGCAUACUGCCUUCUGCGAAUAUACAAACGAGUUUCAAAGUUCAGACGUAAAUCUGCGUU
rnacentral:lncRNA from 1 species